rnacentral:sRNA from 1 species
UCCGUAGGUGAACCUUGCGGAGGGAUCAUUUACAGAGUUACACAACUCACCAAACCAUUGUGAACCGACCCUUCUGUUGCUUCGGCGGGAGGCGCCUCGGCGCCCCUCGGCCGAUCCCCCGCCCCCGCGGCGUGGGGGGAGGCUCCCGCCGGAGGAAUACCCCAAACCCUUUGCAGCACAUGGCCUCUCUGAGUUUAUGUACUGAAUAAGUCAAAACUUUCAACAACGGAUCUCUUGGUUCUGGCAUCGAUGAAGAACGCAGCGAAAUGCGAUAAGUAAUGUGAAUUGCAGAAUUCAGUGAAUCAUCGAAUCUUUGAACGCACAUUGCGCCCGCCGGUAUUCCGGCGGGCAUGCCUGUUCGAGCGUCAUUUCAACCAUCAAGCCCUGGGCUUGUGUUGGGGACCUGCGGCUGCCGCAGGCCCUGAAAUGCAGUGGCGGGCUCGCAAGACACACCGAGCGUAGUAGCUUACAACCUCGCUUUGGGAGUGCUGCGGGUGCUGGCCGUAAAGCGACCUUUGCGUCUUUAGCACUAGGUUGACCUCGGAUCAGGUAGGAGGACCCGCUGAACUUAAGCAUAUCAAUAAGCGGAGGA